rnacentral:rRNA from 1 species
CCUACGGGAGGUAGCAGUAGGGAAUCUUCCACAAUGGGCGAAAGCCUGAUGGAGCAACGCCGCGUGGGUGAAGAAGGCCUUCGGAUCGUAAAACCCUGUUGUUAGAGAAGAAAGUGUGUGAGAGUAACUGUUCACGUUUCGACGGUAUCUAACCAGAAAGCCACGGCUAACUACGUGCCAGCAGCCGCGGUAAUACGUAGGUGGCAAGCGUUAUCCGGAUUUAUUGGGCGUAAAGGGAACGCAGGCGGUCUUUUAAGUCUGAUGUGAAAGCCUUCGGCUUAACCGGAGUAGUUCAUUGGAAACUGGGAGACUUGAGUGCAGAAGAGGAGAGUGGAACUCCAUGUGUAGCGGUGAAAUGCAUAGAUAUCACGCAGAACUCCGAUUGCGAAGGCAGCAUACCGGCGCUCAACUGACGCUCAUGCACGAAAGUGUGGGUAUCGAACAGGAUUAGAUACCCUAGUAGUC